rnacentral:rRNA from 1 species
UACGAAGGGGGCUAGCGUUGCUCGGAAUCACUGGGCGUAAAGGGUGCGUAGGCGGGUCUUUAAGUCAGGGGUGAAAUCCUGGAGCUCAACUCCAGAACUGCCUUUGAUACUGAGGAUCUUGAGUUCGGGAGAGGUGAGUGGAACUGCGAGUGUAGAGGUGAAAUUCGUAGAUAUUCGCAAGAACACCAGUGGCGAAGGCGGCUCACUGGCCCGAUACUGACGCUGAGGCACGAAGGCUAGGGGAGCGAACGGG